UUAAAUUGAAGAGUUUGAUCAUGGCUCAGAUUGAACGCUGGCGGCAGGCCGUAACACAUGCAAGUCGAACGGUAACAGGAAGCAGCUUGCUGCUUCGCUGACGAGUGGCGGACGGGUGAGUAAUGUCUGGGAAACUGCCUGAUGGAGGGGGAUAACUACUGGAAACGGUGGCUAAUACCGCAUAACGUCGCAAGACCAAAGAGGGGGACCUUCGGGCCUCUUGCCAUCAGAUGUGCCCAGAUGGGAUUAGCUUGUUGGUGAGGUAACGGCUCACCAAGGCGACGAUCCCUAGCUGGUCUGAGAGGAUGACCAGCCACACUGGAACUGAGACACGGUCCAGACUCCUACGGGAGGCAGCAGUGGGGAAUAUUGCACAAUGGGCGCAAGCCUGAUGCAGCCAUGCCGCGUGUAUGAAGAAGGCCUUCGGGUUGUAAAGUACUUUCAGCGGGGAGGAAGGUGUUGUGGUUAAUAACCACAGCAAUUGACGUUACCCGCAGAAGAAGCACCGGCUAACUCCGUGCCAGCAGCCGCGGUAAUACGGAGGGUGCAAGCGUUAAUCGGAAUUACUGGGCGUAAAGCGCACGCAGGCGGUCUGUCAAGUCGGAUGUGAAAUCCCCGGGCUCAACCUGGGAACUGCAUUCGAAACUGGCAGGCUUGAGUCUUGUAGAGGGGGGUAGAAUUCCAGGUGUAGCGGUGAAAUGCGUAGAGAUCUGGAGGAAUACCGGUGGCGAAGGCGGCCCCCUGGACAAAGACUGACGCUCAGGUGCGAAAGCGUGGGGAGCAAACAGGAUUAGAUACCCUGGUAGUCCACGCCGUAAACGAUGUCUACUUGGAGGUUGUGCCCUUGAGGCGUGGCUUCCGGAGCUAACGCGUUAAGUAGACCGCCUGGGGAGUACGGCCGCAAGGUUAAAACUCAAAUGAAUUGACGGGGGCCCGCACAAGCGGUGGAGCAUGUGGUUUAAUUCGAUGCAACGCGAAGAACCUUACCUGGUCUUGACAUCCACGGAAGUUUUCAGAGAUGAGAAUGUGCCUUCGGGAACCGUGAGACAGGUGCUGCAUGGCUGUCGUCAGCUCGUGUUGUGAAAUGUUGGGUUAAGUCCCGCAACGAGCGCAACCCUUAUCCUUUGUUGCCAGCGGUUAGGCCGGGAACUCAAAGGAGACUGCCAGUGAUAAACUGGAGGAAGGUGGGGAUGACGUCAAGUCAUCAUGGCCCUUACGACCAGGGCUACACACGUGCUACAAUGGCGCAUACAAAGAGAAGCGACCUCGCGAGAGCAAGCGGACCUCAUAAAGUGCGUCGUAGUCCGGAUUGGAGUCUGCAACUCGACUCCAUGAAGUCGGAAUCGCUAGUAAUCGUGGAUCAGAAUGCCACGGUGAAUACGUUCCCGGGCCUUGUACACACCGCCCGUCACACCAUGGGAGUGGGUUGCAAAAGAAGUAGGUAGCUUAACCUUCGGGAGGGCGCUUACCACUUUGUGAUUCAUGACUGGGGUGAAGUCGUAACAAGGUAACCGUAGGGGAACCUGCGGUUGGAUCACCUCCUUACCUUAAAGAAGC
rnacentral:rRNA from 1 species